AUACGGAGGGUGCAAGCGUUAUUCGGAAUCACUGGGCGUAAAGGACGCGUAGGCGGGUUGGCAAGUCAGAUGUGAAAUCCUACAGCUUAACUGUAGAACUGCAUUUGAAACUGCUAACCUAGAGUAUGGGAGGGGGAGAUGGAAUUAGUGGUGUAGGGGUAAAAUCCGUAGAUAUCACUAGGAAUACCGAAAGCGAAGGCGAUCUCCUGGAACAUAACUGACGCUAAGGCGUGAAAGCGUGGGGAGCAAACAGGAUUAGAAACCCUAGUGUCC
rnacentral:rRNA from 1 species